GAGUUUGAUCCUGGCUCAGAUUGAACGCUGGCGGCAUGCUUUACACAUGCAAGUCGAACGGCAGCAUGGGCUUCGGCCUGAUGGCGAGUGGCGAACGGGUGAGUAAUACAUCGGAACGUGCCCCGUAGUGGGGGAUAACCAGUCGAAAGAUUGGCUAAUACCGCAUAUGCUCUACGGAGGAAAGCGGGGGAUCGCAAGACCUCGCGCUAUGGGAGCGGCCGAUGUCCGAUUAGCUUGUUGGUGAGGUAAAGGCUCACCAAGGCGACGAUCGGUAGCUGGUCUGAGAGGAUGAUCAGCCACACUGGGACUGAGACGCGGCCCAGACUCCUACGGGAGGCAGCAGUGGGGAAUUUUGGACAAUGGGGGCAACCCUGAUCCAGCCAUGCCGCGUGAGUGAAGAAGGCCUUCGGGUUGUAAAGCUCUUUCGUCAGGAAAGAAAGAGCGGGGAGUAACUGUCCCGCGUAUGACGGUACCUGAAGAAGAAGCACCGGCUAACUACGUGCCAGCAGCCGCGGUAAUACGUAGGGUGCGAGCGUUAAUCGGAAUUACUGGGCGUAAAGGGUGCGCAGGCGGUCGCGUAAGACAGGUGUGAAAUCCCCGGGCUC
rnacentral:rRNA from 1 species